rnacentral:rRNA from 1 species
CGAUCAGUAGCCGACCUGAGAGGGUGAUCGGCCACAUUGGAACUGAGACACGGUCCAAACUCCUACGGGAGGCAGCAGCGGGGAAUAUUGCACAAUGGGCGAAAGCCUGAUGCAGAAACGCCGCGUGCGUGAUGAAGGCCUGCGGGUCGUAAAACUCUGUCCUCAAGGAAGAUAAUGACGGUACUUGAGGAGGAAGCCCCGGCUAA